rnacentral:misc_RNA from 1 species
GAUGAAGAACGUAGUGAAAUGCGAUAAGUAAUGUGAAUUGCAGAAUUCCGUGAAUCAUCGAAUCUUUGAACGCACAUUGCGCCCCCUGGUAUUCCGGGGGGGCAUGCCUGUCCGAGCGUCAUUGCAACCUUCAAGCGCGGCUUGUGUGUUGGGUCUCGUCCCCCGUGGACGGGCCCGAAAGGCAGUGGCGGCGUCCCGACAUGGUGCCCGAGCGUAUGGGAAUCCUCUUCCGCUCGAAUCGGCCCAUGCGGCGCUGGUCGUAACCAAAUUUUUUACCGGUUGACCUCGGAUCAGGUAGGGAUACCCGCUGAACUUAAGCAUAUCAAUAAGCGGAGGA